GAUGAACGCUGGCGGCGUGCUUAACACAUGCAAGUCGAACGGAAAGGCUCCUGCUUGCCGGGGUACUCGAGUGGCGAACGGGUGAGUAAAACGUGGGUGAUCUGCCCAGCACUUAGGGAUAAGACUGGGAAACUGCGUCUAAUACAGGGUAGGACGAUGGUUUGGAUGCCAUUGUGUAGAGUUUUUUCGGUGUGGGAUGAGCUCGCGGCCUAUCAGCUCGUUGUUGGGGUAUUGGCCUACUCAGGGGUCGCCGAGUAGCCGGCCUGAGAGUGAGUCAGGCUACAUUCGGAUUGAGGAACGGCCCAGACGGCUACUGGCGCAAGGAGUGGGGAACAGUGCAAACUGGGCGGAAGCAUGAUGCAGGGACGUCGCGUGGUGAUGCUGGCCUUCGGGUUGUAAACUCCUUUCGCUAGGGCCGAAGCGGAAGUGACGGUACCUGGAGAAGAAGCCCCGGCUAACUACGUG
rnacentral:rRNA from 1 species